rnacentral:rRNA from 1 species
AGAGUUUGAUCCUGGCUCAGGAUGAACGCUAGCUACAGGCUUAACACAUGCAAGUCGAGGGGCAGCAUGUUGGUUGCUUGCAACCAACGAUGGCGACCGGCGCACGGGUGAGUAACGCGUAUCCAACCUACCCUUGUCCAUCGGAUAACCCGUCGAAAGGCGGCCUAACACGAUAUGCGGUUCACAGCAGGCAUCUAACGUGAACGAAAUGUGAAGGAGAAGGAUGGGGAUGCGUCUGAUUAGCUUGUUGGCGGGGUAACGGCCCACCAAGGCAACGAUCAGUAGGGGUUCUGAGAGGAAGGUCCCCCACAUUGGAACUGAGACACGGUCCAAACUCCUACGGGAGGCAGCAGUGAGGAAUAUUGGUCAAUGGACGAGAGUCUGAACCAGCCAAGUAGCGUGCAGGAUGACGGCCCUAUGGGUUGUAAACUGCUUUUAUAGGGGGAUAAAGUGUGCCACGUGUGGCAUAUUGCAGGUACCCUAUGAAUAAGGACCGGCUAAUUCCGUGCCAGCAGCCGCGGUAAUACGGAAGGUCCAGGCGUUAUCCGGAUUUAUUGGGUUUAAAGGGAGCGUAGGCCGUUUGGUAAGCGUGUUGUGAAAUGUCGGGGCUCAACCUGGGCAUUGCAGCGCGAACUGCCAGACUUGAGUGCGCAGGAAGUAGGCGGAAUUCGUCGUGUAGCGGUGAAAUGCUUAGAUAUGACGAAGAACUCCGAUUGCGAAGGCAGCCUGCUGUAGCGCAACUGACGCUGAAGCUCGAAAGCGUGGGUAUCGAACAGGAUUAGAUACCCUGGUAGUCCACGCGGUAAACGAUGGAUGCUCGCUGUUUGCGUCUGACGUAAGCGGCCAAGCGAAAGCGUUAAGCAUCCCACCUGGGGAGUACGCCGGCAACGGUGAAACUCAAAGGAAUUGACGGGGGCCCG